ACGUAGGGUGCAAGCGUUAUCCGGAAUUAUUGGGCGUAAAGGGCGCGUAGGCGGUUUGAUGCGUCUGUCGUGAAAGCCCAGGGCUCAACUCCAGAUCUGCGGUGGAUACGGGCAGACUAGAGUAAAGUAGAAGAGAGCGGAAUUUCUGGUGUAGCGGUGAAAUGCUUAGAUAUCAGGAGGAACACCGAUGGCGAAGGCAGGUCUCUGGAUUGUAACUGACGCUGACGCGCGAAAGCAUGGGGAGCAAACAG
rnacentral:rRNA from 1 species